GCCAGCGUAGCUUAAUUAAAGCAUAACACUGAAGAUGUUAAGAUGGACCCUAAUAAGUCCCGCAAGCA
rnacentral:tRNA from 2 species